rnacentral:rRNA from 1 species
UACGAAGGGGGCUAGCGUUGUUCGGAUUUACUGGGCGUAAAGCGCACGUAGGCGGAUCGUUAAGUCGGGGGUGAAAUCCUGGGGCUCAACCCCCAGAACUGCCUUCGAUACUGGCGAUCUCGAGUCCGGAAGAGGUGAGUGGAACUCCUAGUGUAGAGGUGGAAUUCGUAGAUAUUAGGAAGAACACCAGUGGCGAAGGCGGCUCACUGGUCCGGUACUGACGCUGAGGUGCGAAAGCGUGGGGAGCAAACAGG